UUGACUAUAUGAUGCUUGUAUCCCCAGUCGUCUGUUCUGUUUGUGCUGAAUAAUAAGUUUUGCACCUUUAAGACUUGUUCCAGGGGUGCAGGGGCGGGGGGGAGAAGAAGCGCUCACGUUGUUUUCAGAAACGGGACUCACUCCUCCACAUUCCUGCUCCUGGACUGUGUUGUCUGCGGACGGACAGACAGCGAGACAGAGCUCUCCUUUGCUUUCAGUUUUAGCCAGCUGAGGUGAAGAAGUUCUCUGGGCUGUUUUUUUCCUUUUCUUUGGACCUGCUCAAGCCCGCUCUGGGCUGAACCCCAGAGGAGCAGCGGCAGCUCGCAGCUGAGGCCCAGCGGGCCGGGCCUGGGCCGCGGCGUUUCCAGCGCCGGAGGGACUGAAGAGAGGCUGAGUGAGCCGAGCUGCAGCCCGGGCAGGGGAAUUUGUCUCUCUUUUGGAGCGGCAAGAGGUUGCAAUCUGAUGUACCUGUACUGCUCAAGAAGCCUGUCUGAUGGAUAGAGAUCAUGUGGGCCAUGUGCAGCAUGGCCUGUUGUCUUUUCACACUCCCUGGACCAGCCAAGGCAGAACAAGGAAGGGACAAGGCGGGUUGGGGCUCCAGUGAAACUGAAAUUCAAUUACAUGCCUCCUGUAGACCUAACCUCACUGUAAAAAUUAGCCUGACAAUAUUACCUUUAAUUGUGCCUGUGUGAACUCUCUUUGAUGUUAAAGAUGGGCUACCCUCAUCCACCUUUUUUGUCAUACUGUGAGCAAGCCUCACUAAAUUGUUUAGCAAGAUGCAGACCUUUAAGGAAACCCAGACAUGAACAGCUUUCUCCAGCCCUUGAAAGUACAUGGGAUUGAUCUGUUUGCUAUACAAUCCCCAAGCCCCAGGCUAUGGAUAAAAUUUCUUAGAAGAGAGGCAAAGUAAAUCAAUUCUAUUCUGUUGCUGGGGUAAAGUUGGUCAAUAGAUGAUAUUUUAAAGCACCUCCAUCAACAAUUUAUGAGAUUUAUUCAGUUUAUGCGAAAGAGCACUCCAUAAUCAUCACUACACAGUGAUGGCCCAACAGGGUGUUGCUAACUGGAUAUCAUUUAAUAAAAGUUUUUCAAGUGCUCAGCAUGCUUUCAUCAGAGGGUGAUUUUUGUUUUUAUCCUUGUUUUGUAUGAACAUUAGGAGGUAAUCAAGAAGUUAUAAAAGUUGAUGAUUUAUGAAGCUUUUGAAGUGGUGGGUGAAAUUGUAGGCUAGAUAUAAUGCUUAUAUUGAUCACACUGUUGGGUAAAAGCACAAGACUGUUGACUAAAAGUACUAUUUAAAUAAAUUUCAUGACAGGA